rnacentral:rRNA from 1 species
UACGUAGGGAGCAAGCGUUGUCCGGAAUCAUUGGGCGUAAAGCGCGCGUAGGCGGCCUCGUAAGUCCGUUGUGAAAGUCAAAGGCUCAACCUUUGAAAGCCGAUGGAUACUGUGAGGCUAGAGUCCGGAAGAGGCGAGUGGAAUUCCGUGGUGUAGCGGUGGAAUGCGCAGAUAUCAGGAGGAACACCAAUAGCGAAGGCAGCUCGCUGGGACGGUACUGACGCUAAGGCGCGAAAGCGUGGGGAGCGAACAGG